rnacentral:rRNA from 1 species
UUGACCUCAAAUCAGGUAGGACUACCCGCUGAACUUAAGCAUAUCAAUAAGCGGAGGAAAAGAAACUAACAAGGAUUCCCCUAGUAACUGCGAGUGAAGCGGGAAAAGCUCAAAUUUAAAAUCUGGCGGUCUUGCGGCCGUCCGAGUUGUAAUCUGGAGAAGCGUUUAUCCGCGUCCGACCGUGUACAAGUCUCCUGGAAGGGAGCGUCGUAGAGGGUGAGAAUCCCGUCUUUGACACG